rnacentral:lncRNA from 1 species
AAAAUAUGCACAUAGUACAUAAUAUUAAGUAGUAUCAAAAUAGAAUAGUAACAAACGAAAUAACAUAAUACACAUUAUUUAAAUUUUUAAAUAUUUAUGAUUGCAGGGAGUGAGGUAGUGCUUACCCCAACAUCAACCCAAACCUACAACAAACUAAACCUAAAACACUAAUCACUAAACCCUAAAAAGAAAUAUAAACCC